rnacentral:tRNA from 2 species
GGGGGUAUAGUAUAAUGGCAUUACACUGUGUUUGCAUCACUGUUAUAGGCGUUCGAUUCGCCUUAUCUCCA